CUCCAAGGACCCCCAAAUCCUCCUUGGGAACCCCAAAUCCUCCCCGGGAACCCCAAAUUCGGGUUUGGGAACUCAAAAAACGCCCCCCUGGGGAUGUCCGUGGUGGGCAGCCCCAAAUCCACCCCAAAUCCUCCUUGGGUACCCCAAAAUCCUCCUUGGAAACCCGAAAUCUUCAUUGGGAACCCCAAAUUCGGGUUUGGGACCCCAAAUUCGGGUUUGGGGCCUCAAAAAUACUCCUCGAGGCCAAAUUUUGGGGUCUCAAAGCCGAAUUUUGGGGGGAUCGAGACCCCCAAACCCCUCCCAGACCCCAAAUUUUGGGGGGAUCGAGACCCCCAAACCCUCCCCAAAUCCCCCAAAUUUCCCAGGUUUGAUUUUUAAACCUCCCCGACCCCAAAAAAAGCUCCCAAAAAUCCCCCCAGGACCCCCUGGGAGGCUCCAAACCUUCCCCAAACCCCAAAUUUUGGGGGUUUUGAGACCCCCAAAUCCUUUCCCGACACCCCAAAAUAUUUUGGGGUGUCCCCAGGGGUCGUUUUCAACGACAUCUACUCGGCCUCCAAGUUCGCCGUGGAGGGGCUGUGUGAGAGCCUGGCGGUGCAGCUGCUGCAGUUCAACGUCUUCGUGUCUCUGGUGGAGCCGGGCCCGGUGAACACCGAGUUCGAGCGCAAGGUCCUGCAGGAGGUGGAAAAAUCGGAAUUCCCGGGAACGGAUCCCGAGACUCUGCGCUAUUUCCGUGAGGUUUACCUGCCCGCCAGCCGCCAGGUGUUCGACACCUUCGGCCAGAGCCCCGAGGAGGUGGCGCAGGUGAGGAUUGGGGAAAUUUGGGGAAUUUUUUUGGAAUUUUUUGGGAAUUUUUUGGGGAAUUUUUAGGAAUUUUUUUGAAUUUUUUUGUGAUUUUUUUGCGAUUUUUUUGGGUGAUUUUUGGGGUAAUUUUGGUGCUCACCUGUCCUGGCCUCACCUGGAAUUCUGAAGUCGUGCAGGUGAGGAUUGGGGAAAUUUGGGGAAUUUUUGGGAAUUUUUUGGGAAUUUUUUGGGAAUUUUUUUGGGAUUUUUUUGAAUUUUUUUGUGAUUUUUUUGCGAUUUUUUUGGGAUGAUUUUUGGGGUGAUUUUGGUGCUCACCUGUCCUGGCCUCACCUGGAAUUCUAAAUUUGGACAGGUGAGGAUUUGGGGGAAAUUUUGGGAUUUUUAGGGAUUUUUUUGGGGGGAUUUUUUGGGAAUUUUUGGGAAAUUUUUUGGGACUUUUUUGAAUUUUUUUGUGAUUUUUUUUGUGAUUUUCUGGGGGGAUUUUUCUGGUGAUUUUGGGGAUUUUUUUGGGGAGAUUUUUGGAGUUUUUUGGGGUACCCGGGGUAGAAUUUUUGGGGGAUUUUUGGGGUCCCCUUCCCCUGUGCCCCCCCCCAACAAUUGGAGACCCCAGACCCAAAUCCUGGGUGGAAUUUUGAGGUUUUUUGAUCCGUUUUGGGGCAUUUUGACCAUUUCUGGGCUGUUUUUUCGGGAUUUUUGG
rnacentral:lncRNA from 1 species